rnacentral:hammerhead_ribozyme from 1 species
AUCCAGCUGAAGAGUCCUUAAAUAGGACGAAACGCACGUCAUGGAU